AGACUCUGUAUUACGAAGGGGCCGCGCGUGUUUGAGAACACGACCAGAAUACAAAUUUCUUAUCAGAAAUAUAUAAUUAUUUAAAAUAAUGUUAUACUUACAUUGUCUGUACGCAUUCAAUUGGAAAAUAUUAAAUUGACUCGCGAUAAUAACAUUAUGCUGAAAUCCUCUUAUAAAUCGUCCGAUUUUCAUUAAUACAGGGUGAUUUUUGUUAUUAUG